UGGGGAAUAUUGGACAAUGGGCGAAAGCCUGAUCCAGCCAUGCCGCGUGUGUGAAGAAGGUCUUCGGAUUGUAAAGCACUUUAAGUUGGGAGGAAGGGCAGUAAGCGAAUACCUUGCUGUUUUGACGUUACCGACAGAAUAAGCACCGGCUAACUCUGUGCCAGCAGCCGCGGUAAUACAGAGGGUGCAAGCGUUAAUCGGAAUUACUGGGCGUAAAGCGCGCGUAGGUGGUUCGUUAAGUUGAAUGUGAAAGCCCCGGGCUCAACCUAGGAACUGCAUCCAAAGCGGGCAAGGUAGAGUAGGGCAGAGGAUGGUGGAAUUUCCUGUGUAGCGGUGAAAUGCGUAGAUAUAAGAAGGAACACCAGUGGCGAAGGCGACCACCUGGGCUCAUACUGACACUGAGGUGCGAAAGCGUGGGGAGCAAACAGG
rnacentral:rRNA from 1 species